CUCAGAAAGCUCUCACAGCGAAGUAAGGCCAAAGGUCUCAGAGCCAGUAAGUAGCAGAGGGAGGUGGGGUCUGAAAACAGGUGCAGCUUCUAACCCCUUUAUGCCGGAACUAGGGUCAGGAAUUCCUGGGAAGAUAGCUUAGCCUCUUGUUGCUCCCUCUGCAACACCGCCUUAAUUUCGUGACUGCUUUGGAAGGAGGGGGCAAGGGCCAACAAAGGACAGCUGAAUCACAGGAUUUCUCAAGAAAUAAAAAUUCCUAGCACACCCCUGGGGCCUCCGGGAGGAAAACUGACAACGUGUUGAUUGAAAACAGACCAGGCUGAUGUGGCCCGCAGCGCGGGGCCAGGCUCUCGCGGGUUCACAGCGACACCUAGUGGUUUUCCUGAGCACCUGCCACCGCGUGGAAACGGCCAGACCUGUGGAAUUACCCUUUGCCUGCUGAGGCUGCUAAGCCGUAAGGAGGGAAGCGUGAAGCAUGAAGCCGAUGCUGACCACCUUGUCAAGUGUGGGAAGAGCCUGCCAAACAAAGCAUAAAGCCACCUGGAGGAAAGCAGAGUAAGAGAGAAGGGCUAACUCCUAAUGCUAUUGUACAUUUGGAUGCAGCCAUGACUAAAGUCAGUUCUGUGAACCAUUAUGUGAGCCAUCUAGUUCCUUCGUAAGUUCCUUUGAGUUGAGUUUCUGUCACUUGAAACCAAGAGGGUCCUAAUACAGUGGUGCACAUUCAUAUCCUAGAAUUUGGGGCAAGUCUUUAAAGGGAUUAAAUGACAUCCCUGCUUGUCAUCCCAUUCACUUGGUUACUCUUCAAGCCCUCAAAUAUCCCUUAUUUGAGGAUAAGUGCUAUGGCCCCAACUGCUGUCUUCUAUACUCACGGGACCAAACUUGCACACAUUCUAUGAAACCUGGGGCUCCU